ensembl:snoRNA small nucleolar RNA SNORA54
UGGCACUGUUCGUAACCUGUUUUCAGUCCUUAGUCUGACUCUGGGUUCCAUUCCAGUGCAAUAGAAAAUUCCAGUGAGGCAGGGGAGUCUGCAUUUUGUGCAUUCUCCCUGUUCACUCUCUGGAUACACCA